AAAAAAACUUGACAGGGGAGAUAUCAUGAUCGCAAAGUUGGUUUUCCCAGGGCACGGCUCGCACCAAUGUGUGCUGACCCCUACGAUUUCCCCAAUUGUGGGAAACUCAGCUGGGUAAUUUGUGGUGGCAGGGGGCUAUGUUCGUGCUCUCCCCUA